UUAAGAGCUUGCUCUUAUGAAGUUAGCGGCGGACGGGUGAGUAACACGUGGGUAACCUGCCCAUAAGACUGGGAUAACUCCGGGAAACCGGGGCUAAUACCGGAUAACAUUUUGAACCGCAUGGUUCGAAAUUGAAAGGCGGCUUCGGCUGUCACUUAUGGAUGGACCCGCGUCGCAUUAGCUAGUUGGUGAGGUAACGGCUCACCAAGGCAACGAUGCGUAGCCGACCUGAGAGGGUGAUCGGCCACACUGGGACUGAGACACGGCCCAGACUCCUACGGGAGGCAGCAGUAGGGAAUCUUCCGCAAUGGACGAAAGUCUGACGGAGCAACGCCGCGUGAGUGAUGAAGGCUUUCGGGUCGUAAAACUCUGUUGUUAGGGAAGAACAAGUGCUAGUUGAAUAAGCUGGCACCUUGACGGUACCUAACCAGAAAGCCACGGCUAACUACGUGCCAGCAGCCGCGGUAAUACGUAGGUGGCAAGCGUUAUCCGGAAUUAUUGGGCGUAAAGCGCGCGCAGGUGGUUUCUUAAGUCUGAUGUGAAAGCCCACGGCUCAACCGUGGAGGGUCAUUGGAAACUGGGAGACUUGAGUGCA
rnacentral:rRNA from 1 species